UGAUGAUUAGGCCCUUACAUACAUUUUCAUAGCAUCGCAGUCCGAACAGUGAUUACACCGCUUAGCAAGUUCUAGUAUAGUGUUCAUCAACAUAAACAAGCUUCAGUGAUAUUUGAAAGGGGAAAUAUAUAAAUCUGUGUUUAGGAUUAGUACAACUGGCAAUUCCCAGAUAAGGUACAAACUCAACCCCAGGAAUGGACUACAUCCGAUAAACAUUAUGGACACUGUCUGGAUCCACUUUUGUGUUUUAGCUAUUGUGACGUCAAUUACAUAUUCCACAAAGCAAAAAACAGAAGGUGACAAUCGCCAACAAUCGUUGUCUCAGCUAUCAAGUCACAGCAACGACGUCACAAGUUACAUCGAUCUAUCGGUGUCCUUG